rnacentral:sRNA from 1 species
UUAUAAUCUCCCUCGAUCACAGAGAAUUAAUACUAAUAAUAGGAGAAUAGGAAGAAAACAAAUUGUGAGUGUUAGAAAAAGGCUGUGCUUUCAUUCUUAUAUCUUGCAAGAGUAAUGAGUGUGAGCAUUCUAUAUCAUAUUCUCUAGUCAGAUCCAAGCAACUGAGUACAUUCAUCUCUCCGGAGUAACUUAACGUUUCAGAGUCUCUUUGAAAUAAUGGAUGUUCACUUGUUUCUUUCUCGUCAAUUCUCCAUUCUCUCUCUGCGUAUUAGUUAAAUCAGAAGAAGAUGAACAUCUUGCUUCAAUAAACAGGUUUAAUGAUGAUGACUUAUGGUGAAGUGUUGCCGGAUUCAAGAGAUUCAUUGAAGACUUAAGAAUUUAGUUGUUGAAGUCUUAUAAUAUGUGUAUUGUAUUUGAAAUUAGUAUCCUAAGAGUCAAUAGGUAGAAUCCGAGAAAGAGAUUCAUUGAAGACUUAAGAAUUUAGUUGUUGAAGUGUUGUAAUCCGUGUAUUUUAUUUGAAAUUAGUAUCCUAAGAGUCAAUAGGUAGAAUCCAAGCACCAGAGUACUAAAAAAAGUUUUAUUAUCCUAAAAACUUAUGUGAUAAUCGA